ACCCAACUCCACACCCGGUCUAAUAUCAUUAAAGCACGAAAGAGGACAAUAAGCCCACGAAGGUUCAAGGCCCAUCCUGAUCUCACAGAUGGCCUAUGCCGAGCUGACGUACUCAAACCACAAUGUAACAUAGGUCAAAGCAUAAAUACAUACAUAAAGGCAUCUGAUAUUCGUCAUAUCACGUCCCCGUGUUGAUCCACAUGAUAUACACCAAUAAAAGAGAGACAAAGGACAAGAAGCAGGGGAUCCGAAUUCUUUCUAAGCAAUUACAUACUUUCAAUACCUUUGUACUCUCUUGUUUUAGAUAUCUUUUGUAUCUCAUCAUUGUAUUCCCAUAUUAUCAAUCAAAUACACAUUUUUCAUGUCAGCUUCGAGAGCUUCUACUUCUGAAAUACACCAAAAUCUUUGUAAAAGAUUAGAAAACAAAUAUGUAAAAGAGAUGUAAUCCCAAUCAUGAAAUUAAUUAUUCCUACAACAACUUUAUCUACCCUGAGCUCUUAUUCGGCAAGGCCAAUGAGUAACAGCAUAGCUCCUUGCAAGUGUUUAUUAAAAUUUGGAACUCAUUCCAUCACCAUCCCCCUC
rnacentral:lncRNA from 1 species